rnacentral:tRNA from 1 species
UCACCAAGUGACCGAAUAGGUGUAAGUCUUUUAAACUUACCAUAGUUAUACUCUUGGUGA